GUCUAUGGCCAUACCACACUGAAUGUUGCCUGAUCUCAUGUGAUUUCAAAAGCUAAGCAGGGGCGGGCCUGGUUAGUAAUUGGAUGAGAGAAAUGCUGAUGUAGCGAGUCUGAGGUAGGAC
ensembl:rRNA 5S_rRNA 5S ribosomal RNA